rnacentral:rRNA from 1 species
AUGGCUCAGAUUGAACGCUGGCGGCGUGCUUAACACAUGCAAGUCGCGCGUGAAAGGACUUCGGUCCGAGUAAAGCGGCGCACGGGUGAGUAACGCGUGGAUGAUCUACCCAUGAGUUAGGAAUAACGGCUGGAAACGGUCGCUAAUACCAAAUACGCUCCGAUUUCAACUUCGGGGGAAAGGUGGCCUCUGCUUGCAAGCUACUGCUCAUGGAUGAGUCCGCGUCCCAUUAGCUAGUUGGUGGGGUAACGGCCCACCAAGGCGACGAUGGGUAGCCGGUCUGAGAGGAUGACCGGCCACACUGGGACUGGAACACGGCCCAGACUCCUACGGGAGGCAGCAGUGGGGAAUAUUGCGCAAUGGGCGAAAGCCUGACGCAGCGACGCCGCGUGAGGGAUGAAGGUCCUCGGAUCGUAAACCUCUGUCAGGAGGGAAGAACCGCCACGGUGCUAAUCAGCCGUGGUCUGACGGUACCUCCAAAGGAAGCACCGGCUAACUCCGUGCCAGCCGCUGC